rnacentral:rRNA from 1 species
GACGAACGCUGGCGGCGUGCCUAACACAUGCAAGUCGAGCGGGGUUGAGGCGAGAGGUAACUCGAGCUUCUACCUAGCGGCGGACGGGUGAGUAACGCGUGGGCAACCUGCCUCAAGGUUUGGGAUAACAGCCCGAAAGGGCUGCUAAUACCGGAUAUGCCUAUGGCCUCGCAUGGGGCUAUGAGCAAAGGGGAAACCCGCCUUGAGAUGGGCCCGCGUCCCAUCAGCUAGUUGGUUGAGGUAACAGCUCACCAAGGCGACGACGGGUAGCCGGCCUGAGAGGGUGACCGGCCACACUGGGACUGAGACACGGCCCAGACUCCUACGGGGGGCAGCAGUGGGGGAUCUUGCACAAUGGGCGAAAGCCUGAUGCAGCGACGCCGCGUGAGCGAAGAAGGCCUCGGGUUGUAAAGCUCUGUCUGGUAGGGACGAACGAAAAUAGACGGUACCUCCGGUACGGAAGGACCGACCGGCGUAACCUACCGUUAGACCACGCAGCCGCGGUAAUAGUCUACGUCGCG